rnacentral:rRNA from 1 species
AUUGAACGCUGGCGGCAGGCCUAACACAUGCAAGUCGAACGGUAACAGGAAGAAGCUUGCUUCUUUGCUGACGAGUGGCGGACGGGUGAGUAAUGUCUGGGAAACUGCCUGAUGGAGGGGGAUAACUACUGGAAACGGUAUCUAAUACCGCAUAAUGUCGCAAGACCAAAGAGGGGGACCUUCGGGCCUCUUGCCAUCGGAUGUGCCCAGAUGGGAUUAGCUAGUAGGUGGGGUAACGGCUCACCUAGGCGACGAUCCCUAGCUGGUCUGAGAGGAUGACCAGGCACACUGUAACUGAGACACGGUCCAGACUCCUACGGGAGGCAGCAGUGGGGAAUAUUGCACAAUGGGCGCAAGCCUGAUGCAGCUAUGCCGCGUGUAUGAAGAAGGCCUUCGGGUUGUAAAGUACUUUCAGCGGGGAGGAAGGGAGUAAAGUUAAUACCUUUGCUCAUUGACGUUACCCGCAGAAGAAGCACCGGCUAACUCCGUG